GACGAACGCUGGCGGCGUGCUUAACACAUGCAAGUCGAACGGAAAGGCCCUGCUUGCAGGGUACUCGAGUGGCGAACGGGUGAGUAACACGUGGGUGAUCUGCCCUGCACUUCGGGAUAAGCCUGGGAAACUGGGUCUAAUACCGGAUAGGAGCCAUUUUUAGUGUGAUGGGUGGAAAGUUUUUUCGGUGUAGGAUGAGCUCGCGGCCUAUCAGCUUGUUGGUGGGGUAAUGGCCUACCAAGGCGGCGACGGGUAGCCGGCCUGAGAGGGUGGACGGCCACAUUGGGACUGAGAUACGGCCCAGACUCCUACGGGAGGCAGCAGUGGGGAAUAUUGCACAAUGGGCGCAAGCCUGAUGCAGCGACGCCGCGUGGGGGAUGACGGCCUUCGGGUUGUAAACUCCUUUCGCUAGGGACGAAGCUUUUUGUGACGGUACCUAGAUAAGAAGCACCGGCUAACUACGUG
rnacentral:rRNA from 1 species